rnacentral:rRNA from 1 species
GACGAACGCUGGCGGCGUGCUUAACACAUGCAAGUCGAACGGUGAAGCGCCUUCCUUUUUGGUGGGUGUGGAUGAGUGGCGAACGGGUGAGUAACACGUGAGUAACCUGCCCCCUUCUUCUGGAUAACCGCAUGAAAGUGUGGCUAAUACGGGAUAUUCUGGGUCUGUCGCAUGAUGGGUCUGGGAAAGAUAUUGUUUCGGUGGGGGAUGGGCUCGCGGCCUAUCAGCUUGUUGGUGGGGUGAUGGCCUACCAAGGCGGUGACGGGUAGCCGGCCUGAGAGGGUGGACGGUCACACUGGGACUGAGACACGGCCCAGACUCCUACGGGAGGCAGCAGUGGGGAAUAUUGCACAAUGGGCGCAAGCCUGAUGCAGCGACGCCGCGUGAGGGAUGGAGGCCUUCGGGUUGUGAACCUCUUUCGCCAGUGAAGCAGGCCUCCUCGUUUGUGGGUGGGUUGACGGUAGCUGGAUAAGAAGCGCCGGCUAACUACGUG